AACGAGUUCUCGUUGAUGAUCGGUGCUUGCACCGAGAUUCAACAUGGAUCGAGUGGCGGACGGGUGAGUAACACGUGGGUAACCUGCCCUUAAGUGGGGGAUAACAUUUGGAAACAGAUGCUAAUACCGCAUAGAUCCAAGAACCGCAUGGUUCUUGGCUGAAAGAUGGCGUAAGCUAUCGCUUUUGGAUGGACCCGCGGCGUAUUAGCUAGUUGGUGAGGUAAUGGCUCACCAAGGCGAUGAUACGUAGCCGAACUGAGAGGUUGAUCGGCCACAUUGGGACUGAGACACGGCCCAAACUCCUACGGGAGGCAGCAGUAGGGAAUCUUCCACAAUGGACGCAAGUCUGAUGGAGCAACGCCGCGUGAGUGAAGAAGGCUUUCGGGUCGUAAAACUCUGUUGUUGGAGAAGAAUGGUCGGCAGAGUAACUGUUGUCGGCGUGACGGUAUCCAACCAGAAAGCCACGGCUAACUACGUGCCAGCAGCCGCGGUAAUACGUAGGUGGCAAGCGUUAUCCGGAUUUAUUGGGCGUAAAGCGAGCGCAGGCGGUUUUUUAAGUCUGAUGUGAAAGCCCUCGGCUUAACCGAGGAAGCGCAUCGGAAACUGGGAAACUUGAGUGCAGAAGAGGACAGUGGAACUCCAUGUGUAGCGGUGAAAUGCGUAGAUAUAUGGAAGAACACCAGUGGCGAAGGCGGCUGUCUGGUCUGUAACUGACGCUGAGGCUCGAAAGCAUGGGUAGCGAACAGGAUUAGAUACCCUGGUAGUCCAUGCCGUAAACGAUGAAUGCUAGGUGUUGGAGGGUUUCCGCCCUUCAGUGCCGCAGCUAACGCAUUAAGCAUUCCGCCUGGGGAGUACGACCGCAAGGUUGAAACUCAAAGGAAUUGACGGGGGCCCGCACAAGCGGUGGAGCAUGUGGUUUAAUUCGAAGCAACGCGAAGAACCUUACCAGGUCUUGACAUCUUUUGAUCACCUGAGAGAUCAGGUUUCCCCUUCGGGGGCAAAAUGACAGGUGGUGCAUGGUUGUCGUCAGCUCGUGUCGUGAGAUGUUGGGUUAAGUCCCGCAACGAGCGCAACCCUUAUGACUAGUUGCCAGCAUUUAGUUGGGCACUCUAGUAAGACUGCCGGUGACAAACCGGAGGAAGGUGGGGAUGACGUCAAAUCAUCAUGCCCCUUAUGACCUGGGCUACACACGUGCUACAAUGGAUGGUACAACGAGUUGCGAGACCGCGAGGUCAAGCUAAUCUCUUAAAGCCAUUCUCAGUUCGGACUGUAGGCUGCAACUCGCCUACACGAAGUCGGAAUCGCUAGUAAUCGCGGAUCAGCACGCCGCGGUGAAUACGUUCCCGGGCCUUGUACACACCGCCCGUCACACCAUGAGAGUUUGUAACACCCGAAGCCGGUGGCGUAACCCUUUUAGGGAGCGAGCCGUCUAAGGUGGGACAAAUGAUUAGGGUGAA
rnacentral:rRNA from 2 species